rnacentral:rRNA from 1 species
GAUGAACGCUGGCGGCGUGCCUAAUACAUGCAAGUCGAGCGAACAGAUAAGGAGCUUGCUCCUUUGAAGUUAGCGGCGGACGGGUGAGUAACACGUGGGUAACCUACCUAUAAGACUGGGAUAACUUCGGGAAACCGGAGCUAAUACCGGAUAACAUUUAGAACCGCAUGGUUCUAAAGUGAAAGAUGGUUUUGCUAUCACUUAUAGAUGGACCCGCGCCGUAUUAGCUAGUUGGUAAGGUAACGGCUUACCAAGGCGACGAUACGUAGCCGACCUGAGAGGGUGAGCGGCCACACUGGAACUGAGACACGGUCCAGACUCCUACGGGAGGCAGCAGUAGGGAAUCUUCCGCAAUGGGCGAAAGCCUGACGGAGCAACGCCGCGUGAGUGAUGAAGGGUUUCGGCUCGUAAAACUCUGUUAUUAGGGAAGAACAAAUGUGUAAGUAACUGUGCACAUCUUGACGGUACCUAAUCAGAAAGCCACGGCUAACUACGCGCCAGCAGCCGCCGUAA